CCCCGGCCAAAGUGUUGAAGUGGCGUCCGAGAUCCCCAAGGGCCAAGCCAAGUUACUACAUCAGCCAUUCAGAACAACCAUCCUGAGCAGAUCUUACGGAA